UAUAACGAAGCCGACUGGAGUCGCCUUCCUAUCACCGGCGUUCCGUGAAAAUAUUGUUCCGGGGUGGAGAUGUUAUGGAGGGGAUCAACGAGUGUCUGGUCAAGGUGGAUGCACUACAGGUCCCAUCAAUGAAGUGUUUCCAUUUUAUGGGACUGAAGAAGUGUCCUUUCUGUCAUAGCCCUGCCCUCAGGAACAACAUCCCAGUCUCCUUGAUUUCUGGAAGCCUCUUUUAAGACAUCCCAGGCAUGAAGGUAGGCUGGCUGUGGUGCCCACUGCAUUCCCCCCCCUUAAAUAUUGGGAAUACUGUUUUAAUCCAGGUAGUCAUGUGGUAUUCAGUUAUUCAUAAUGCAUGGAUAGGUUGAUUGCCUCAUUUAGUGACCAUUUGUAGUUACAAUGUGAUGAAAAAGCGAUUUUGUGAAUAAUCUUCACAUUUAUGAACUUUGUUAACAAAGGAAAGCUGAAGUAAGAUCAUAAGCCGUCAUGGUUUUGUUUAUUGACUGUUUUACUUAAUGGCCGAGUAGCUAGUCCCAAUUCUUUUGGGUUUAGUUACCUGUACUGGACUUCUUAUAUGCCACCCAAAAUCAUGCUGGAGUUGGGUGGCCUUGACAAAUCCAAAUAAAAUAAAAUAUUAAAUUAGAAUUGGAUUGUUAAACUGGACAUCUUGCGGAUUCCAAUGUAAAAAGUCAUGGAUAUAUAUGUGGAAGGACAGACUGCCUGAACAGACAAAAGUAUCUAUGCUCCUUCCUCACACCUUCUUGGCUCUCCCUAGUUGUCAAGAUAACCUGAUUGUCAAUCAAACAGCAGUUGCUGGACACAAGAGGUUCACAGGCCUUGGGAAGAAAAGGUUGCACAAGCACAGUCAAAGCGUGUGAGUCAAAUAAAGAGGCAAACUAAAAGACAGACGGACCCGAUUAGAAGAGGCAGCCGAGAAAGGAGUAGCUAAAAAAACUGUGGGAAGAGAUAUGUCUUUUCCCUUCCCUCAAAGCUGGUGUGAGGUAAACGUUCUACUAGCCAUUUCCCUACGAGGGAGCAAAGAUUCAAGAGAGAAGAACUAAGACACCCAGCCAAAAAACCCCAACCAAGUACAAAAGAUGAAGAAAAAGUCUGAAAUUCACAACAAAAAAUAGAAAACAAACUAAAAAAGACAGAUUGAACUCUGCAGAAAGCAUGCAACUCUACAGGGUGACAACAGGGAGUAAGACAACAAAAAUAUAAAAAUCAGAAAUAAAUAUAUUUGAAACAUAAAAUCGAAAGAUAAAAAAUAUAGUGAAAGGGGACUUUAAAGAAUAUAGAGUAGAUAAAAAGCUUCUAAAAUACACAAAGAACAUUAUUUUUUAAGUCAGUUCUGAACUAGUUGAAGGGAUUUAUAACUUUUUAUAUGUAAGCCUUCCUGUGUAUAAAAUACACAGUAGUUUCACUUAAUGCCAGUAUUCCUUUUGGUCAAAGAUAAGUUAUCAAUAUUUUGCUGAUCUGACAGUAAACUGCAGGUGUUUCUUUGUUCAGAACUGAUAUUUGCAAAGAGAUUAAAAAUACAUAAUACAAACCACUGGAGCAUUCAGAAAUGUAAGAUGACACUUUCUUUUGUUCUGUAGCUGGAGGAAAUAUCUAUUAUGAAAAUAGCAACAGUACUGUUUUCUGGUGUGUUCCCCUUCCACUUUAUUUUAUGCCUAAAACAUUUUCAUGGUCUAAAUGAAGGUAAAAAGUUCAAGCCUAUUUCUGAAAUGUUAACAAAUAUACAUAAUGUACAGGAAAAUUCAACAUUCAUAGUACUGGUAUUUCUUUUUUAUUUAAGAACAGAAUAAAGCAUUUUUAAAUAUAUUAAUUUUAAGUAUGCUACACAAACAAGACGCUGGUUUGCACAUUAACAGUUUUCAAAACCAAGAUUGCAAUGGCCCUUUCCCACCCAAAAUACUGAUGCAACAAACAGAUUACUUUUUAGGACAAAUAUAAAGUCAGAAAUCCCUUAGUAAAAAGGUAGUAAAGGAAAAUUAAAAUGCCACAGCUUUGAUGGCUACAGAUCAAAGUAAAUAUUUUGAGAGAACCAACUUCUUUUGUUAUUUUUACAGAUUACUCAUUUUUUUAUUGUAAGGCAUGAAGGUUUGUAUAUGGUUACCAAAGUGGUAGCCACAAUCAUGGGUAUGGCUCGUUUGGACCACAUCCAGGGUACAGAAGAGGUUUGAGCAUUUAGUCAAAGAACCAAUUCAAAA